rnacentral:rRNA from 1 species
GAUGAACGCUAGCUACAGGCUUAACACAUGCAAGUCGAGGGGUAACGAGAGGAAAGCUUGCUUUCCUUGUUGACGACCGGCGCACGGGUGAGUAACGCGUAUCCAACCUGCCCCCAACUAGGGAAUAACCUUGCGACAGUAAGACUAAUACCCUAUAAUUUCCUCAGAUGUCAUCUGACGCGGAAUAAAGAUUUAUCGGUUGUGGAUGGGGAUGCGUCUGAUUAGCUUGUUGGCGGGGUAACGGCCCACCAAGGCAAACGAUCAGUAGGGGUUCUGAGAGGAAGGUCCCCCACAUUGGAACUGAGACACGGUCCAAACUCCUACGGGAGGCAGCAGUGAGGAAUAUUGGUCAAUGGGCGGAAGCCUGAACCAGCCAAGUAGCGUGCAGGAUGACGGCCCUAUGGGUUGUAAACUGCUUUUAUACAGGAAUAAAGUUAGCCACGUGUGGUUAUUUGUAGGUACUGUAUGAAUAAGGACCGGCUAAUUCCGUGCCAGCAGCCGCCGUAA